rnacentral:rRNA from 1 species
GACGAACGCUGGCGGCGUGCUUAACACAUGCAAGUCGAACGGAAAGGCCCUGCUUUUGUGGGGUGCUCGAGUGGCGAACGGGUGAGUAACACGUGAGUAACCUGCCCUUGACUUUGGGAUAACUUCAGGAAACUGGGGCUAAUACCGGAUAGGAGCUCCUGCUGCAUGGUGGGGGUUGGAAAGUUUCGGCGGUUGGGGAUGGACUCGCGGCUUAUCAGCUUGUUGGUGGGGUAGUGGCUUACCAAGGCUUUGACGGGUAGCCGGCCUGAGAGGGUGACCGGCCACAUUGGGACUGAGAUACGGCCCAGACUCCUACGGGAGGCAGCAGUGGGGAAUAUUGCACAAUGGGCGGAAGCCUGAUGCAGGAACGCCGCGUGCGGGAUGACGGCCUUCGGGUUGUAAACCGCUUUCGCCUGUGACGAAGCGUGAGUGACGGUAAUGGGUAAAGAAGCACCGGCUAACUACGUGCCAGCAGCCGCGGUGAUACGUAGGGUGCGAGCGUUGUCCGGAUUUAUUGGGCGUAAAGGGCUCGUAGGUGGUUGAUCGCGUCGGAAGUGUAAUCUUGGGGCUUAACCCUGAGCGUGCUUUCGAUACGGGUUGACUUGAGGAAGGUAGGGGAGAAUGGAAUUCCUGGUGGAGCGGUGGAAUGCGCGGAUAUCAGGAGGAACACCAGUGGCGAAGGCGGUUCUCUGGGCCUUUCCUGACGCUGAGGAGCGAAAGCGUGGGGAGCGAACAGGCUUAGAUACCCUGGUAGUCCACGCUGUAAACGGUGGGUACUAGGUGUGGGGUCCAUUCCACGGGUUCCGUGCCGUAGCUAACGCUUUAAGUACCCCGCCUGGGGAGUACGGCCGCAAGGCUAAAACUCAAAGGAAUUGACGGGGCCCCGCACAAGCGGCGGAGCAUGCGGAUUAAUUCGAUGCAACGCGUAGAACCUUACCUGGGUUUGACAUAGAUCGGGAGUGCUCAGAGAUGGGUGUGCCUCUUUUGGGGUCGGUUCACAGGUGGUGCAUGGCUGUCGUCAGCUCGUGUCGUGAGAUGUUGGGUUAAGUCCCGCAACGAGCGCAACCCUUGUUCACUGUUGCCAGCACGUUAUGGUGGGGACUCAGUGGAGACCGCCGGGGUCAACUCGGAGGAAGGUGGGGAUGACGUCAAGUCAUCAUGCCCCUUAUGUCCAGGGCUUCACGCAUGCUACAAUGGCUGGUACAGAGAGUGGCGAGCCUGUGAGGGUGAGCGAAUCUCGGAAAGCCGGUCUCAGUUCGGAUUGGGGUCUGCAACUCGACCUCAUGAAGUCGGAGUCGCUAGUAAUCGCAGAUCAGCAACGCUGCGGUGAAUACGUUCCCGGGGCU